GACGAACGCUGGCGGCGUGCUUAACACAUGCAAGUCGAACGGUGAAGCGCCUUCCUUUUGGGUGGGUGUGGAUGAGUGGCGAACGGGUGCGUAACACGUGAGUAACCUUCCCCCUUCUUCUGGAUAACCGCAUGAAAGUGCAGCUAAUACGGGAUAUUCUGGUUCUGUCGCAUGAUGGGUCUGUGACAGCUGUUGGUUCGGUGGUGGAUGGGCUCGCGGCCGAUCAGCAUGUUGGUGGGGUGAUGGCCUAGCAGGGCGGUGCCGGGUAGCCGGCCUGAGAGGGUAGACGGCCAGAGGGGGACUGAGACCACGCCGAGACUGAGAUGGGAGGCAGACGUGGGCAGGAGGGAACAGUGGGGGCAAGUCUGAUGCAGGGGCGACGCGGGAGGGAUGGCGGCCUUCGGGUGGUGAAGCUCUUUCGGCAGUGAAGCAGGCCUGCCUCGUUUGUGGGUGGGUUGACGGUAGCUGGAUAAGAAGCGCCGGCUAACUACGUG
rnacentral:rRNA from 1 species